AUGGGGGCCCCUACCAGCAGCACCAAGGCCUUCAAGCAGGGGUUCCUCAGGAGCUUCCUCCUGAGCCUGACAUCCUGCAGGAACGGCGCCAUGGGCCUGCAAGAGAGGAAGCGUGCCGUCAGGUCGUCCGCCGACAUCGCCAUGGCCACCACCCGCGGCAGCGGAGCCAUGUGGCCGCAGGCCCUCCUAGCAGCAGCAUCGUCAUCAUCGUCGCCGUCGUGGAGUAGGCGGUUGCCGGCUGCAGCCACGGCGAAGACGACGACGAGGCGGAAGAACAUGGCGAGGAGGCGCUGUCCCCAGAGGAGGACGACGACGAGCAGCGGCGAGAUCGCGAGGAGGCUGGUGAGGAAGCGGACCAAGGUGCUGCGGGGGAUGGUGCCCGGCGGGGAGCUCCUCGACGGCGCCUCGCUGCUCCGCGAGGCCAUGGACUACGUCGUCCACCUGCGCGCGCAGGUCGCCGUGCUCCGCCGCGUCUCCAACGCCAUGCAACAGAGACCGUCGUCCAUCCACAUGGCAGGGGCUGUUGCACCACCAGUGCAGUUGAAAACAGAGACGACCGGAACGGCUCAACACUCGGAAGGAAACGAAGAAUAG
rnacentral:rRNA from 1 species